UGGCGGCCAGGCCUAACACAUGCAAGUCGAGCGGUAACAGAGAGUAGCUUGCUACUCUGCUGACGAGCGGCGGACGGGUGAGUAAUGCUUGGGAAUGUACCUUAUGGUGGGGGACAACAGUUGGAAACGACUGCUAAUACCGCAUAAUGUCUUCGGACCAAAGCGGGGGACCUUCGGGCCUCGCGCCAUAAGAUCAGCCCAAGUGGGAUUAGCUAGUUGGUGAGGUAAUGGCUCACCAAGGCGACGAUCCCUAGCUGGUUUGAGAGGAUGAUCAGCCACACUGGGACUGAGACACGGCCCAGACUCCUACGGGAGGCAGCAGUGGGGAAUAUUGCACAAUGGGCGCAAGCCUGAUGCAGCCAUGCCGCGUGUGUGAAGAAGGCCUUCGGGUUGUAAAGCACUUUCAGUAAGGAGGAAAGGUUGGAUGUUAAUAGCAUUCAGCUGUGACGUUACUUACAGAAGAAGCACCGGCUAACUCCGUGCCAGCAGCCGC
rnacentral:rRNA from 1 species